AUUGAACGCUGGCGGCAGGCCUAACACAUGCAAGUCGGACGGUAGCACAGAGGAGCUUGCUCCUUGGGUGACGAGUGGCGGACGGGUGAGUAAUGUCUGGGGAUCUGCCCGAUAGAGGGGGAUAACCACUGGAAACGGGGCUAAUACGGCAUAACGUCGCAAGACCACAGAGGGGGACCUUCGGGCCUCUCACUAUCGGAUGAACCCAGAUGGGAUUAGCUAGUAGGCGGGGUAAUGGCCCACCUAGGCGACGAUCCCUAGCUGGUCUGAGAGGAUGACCAGCCACACUGGAACUGAGACACGGUCCAGACUCCUACGGGAGGCAGCAGUGGGGAAUAUUGCACAAUGGGCGCAAGCCUGAUGCAGCCAUGCCGCGUGUAUGAAGAAGGCCUUCGGGUCGUAAAGUACUUUCAGCGGGGAGGAAGGCGGUGAGGUUAAUAACCUUGCCGAUUGACGUUACCCGCAGAAGAAGCACCGGCUAACUCCGUGCCAGCCGCCGCGGUAA
rnacentral:rRNA from 1 species